rnacentral:tRNA from 1 species
AGGCACGUAGCUCAGCGGUAGAGCACUUCCUUCACACGGAAGGGGUCGUAGGUUCAAGCCCUAUCGUGCCUACCA